rnacentral:rRNA from 1 species
UACGGAGGGGGCUAGCGUUGUUCGGAAUUACUGGGCGUAAAGCGCACGUAGGCGGACUGUUAAGUCGGGGGUGAAAUCCUGGGGCUCAACCUCAGAAUUGCCUCCGAUACUGGCAGUCUCGAGUGCGGGAGAGGUGAGUGGAAUUCCCAGUGAUAGAGGUGAAAUGCGCAGAUAUCAGGAGGAACACCCGUGGCGAAGGCGGCU